UACGUAGGGCGCAAGCGUUGUCCCGGAAUUAUUGGGCGUAAAGAGCUCGUAGGCGGUCUGUUACGUCCGCUGUGAAAACCCAGGGCUUAACCCUGGGCUUGCAGUGGAUACGGGUAGACUAGAGGCAGGUAGGGGAGAAUGGAAUUCCCGGUGUAGCGGUGAAAUGCGCAGAUAUCGGGAGGAACACCUGUGGCGAAAGCGGCUCACUGGACCACAACUGACGCUGAGGCGCGAAAGCUAGGGGAGCAAACAGG
rnacentral:rRNA from 1 species